rnacentral:tRNA from 1 species
UCCUCGAUGGCUCAGAUGGAUAGAGCAUCUGCCUUGUAAGCAGGAGAUCCCGGGGCUCGAGUCCCGGUUGGGGCA